GGCUGGGCCCAGUAGAAAGCCCCUUGGUAAUAACCAGGUCCAGAGUAUGGCUGUAGUUAUGGCUGGGCCCAGUAGAAAGCCCCUUGGUAAUAACCAGGUCCAGAGUAUGGCUGUAGUUAUGGCUGGGCCCAGUAGAAAGACCCUUGGUAAUAACCAGGUCCAGAGUAUGGCUGUAGUUAUGGCUGGGCCCAGUAGAAAGACCCUUGGUAAUAACCAGGUCCAGAGUAUGGCUGUAGUUAUGGCUGGGCCCAGUAACAUUUUGGAUAAAGUCCAU